rnacentral:lncRNA from 1 species
GGUGGUUCAUUGAAGAUCUAAUAGCCAAAAUUAAAUUAUAUGAGUAUAAUAUGAUUUUUAAGGAUUUUUGGACUCUUUUGGUGAUCAAAAAAAGGUGAAAAAUUCACUUAUAAAUAGGAGGUCUGGGAAUAAGUAUGGAGAGUAGAAAAAAUUAGAGAAAAAGCAAAGAAAAAUUAAAUAAAAAAAUAAAAGAGAUUUAGGGAUCC